AAGUGACGCGGUAGAGGAGCGUUCUGUAAGCCUGUGAAGGUGAGUUGAGAAGCUUGCUGGAGGUAUCAGAAGUGCGAAUGCUGACAUGAGUAACGACAAUGGGUGUGAAAAACACCCACGCCGAAAGACCAAGGGUUCCUGCGCAACGUUAAUCGACGCAGGGUUAGUCGGUUCCUAAGGCGAGGCUGAAAAGCGUAGUCGAUGGGAAACAGGUUAAUAUUCCUGUACUUCUGGUUACUGCGAUGGAGGGACGGAGAAGGCUAGGCCAGCUUGGCGUUGGUUGUCCAAGUUUAAGGUGGUAGGCUGAAAUCUUAGGUAAAUCCGGGGUUUCAAGGCCGAGAGCUGAUGACGAGUCGUCUUUUAGAUGACGAAGUGGUUGAUGCCAUGCUUCCAAGAAAAGCUUCUAAGCUUCAGGUAAUCAGGAACCGUACCCCAAACCGACACAGGUGGUCGGGUAGAGAAUACCAAGGCGCUUGAGAGAACUCGGGUGAAGGAACUAGGCAAAAUGGCACCGUAACUUCGGGAGAAGGUGCGCCGGCUAGGGUGAAGGAUUUACUCCGUAAGCUCUGGCUGGUCGAAGAUACCAGGCCGCUGCGACUGUUUAUUAAAAACACAGCACUCUGCAAACACGAAAGUGGACGUAUAGGGUGUGACGCCUGCCCGGUGCCGGAAGGUUAAUUGAUGGGGUUAGCGCAAGCGAAGCUCUUGAUCGAAGCCCCGGUAAACGGCGGCCGUAACUAUAACGGUCCUAAGGUAGCGAAAUUCCUUGUCGGGUAAGUUCCGACCUGCACGAAUGGCGUAACGAUGGCGGCGCUGUCUCCACCCGAGACUCAGUGAAAUUGAAAUCGCUGUGAAGAUGCAGUGUAUCCGCGGCUAGACGGAAAGACCCCGUGAACCUUUACUGUAGCUUUGCACUGGACUUUGAGCCUGCUUGUGUAGGAUAGGUGGGAGGCUUUGAAGCGUGGACGCCAGUUCGCGUGGAGCCAUCCUUGAAAUACCACCCUGGCAUGCUUGAGGUUCUAACUCUGGUCCGUGAUCCGGAUCGAGGACAGUGUAUGGUGGGCAGUUUGACUGGGGCGGUCUCCUCCUAAAGAGUAACGGAGGAGUACGAAGGUGCGCUCAGACCGGUCGGAAAUCGGUCGCAGAGUAUAAAGGCAAAAGCGCGCUUGACUGCGAGACAGACACGUCGAGCAGGUACGAAAGUAGGUCUUAGUGAUCCGGUGGUUCUGUAUGGAAGGGCCAUCGCUCAACGGAUAAAAGGUACUCCGGGGAUAACAGGCUGAUACCGCCCAAGAGUUCAUAUCGACGGCGGUGUUUGGCACCUCGAUGUCGGCUCAUCACAUCCUGGGGCUGAAGCCGGUCCCAAGGGUAUGGCUGUUCGCCAUUUAAAGUGGUACGCGAGCUGGGUUUAGAACGUCGUGAGACAGUUCGGUCCCUAUCUGCCGUGGACGUUUGAGAUUUGAGAGGGGCUGCUCCUAGUACGAGAGGACCGGAGUGGACGAACCUCUGGUGUUCCGGUUGUCACGCCAGUGGCAUUGCCGGGUAGCUAUGUUCGGAAAAGAUAACCGCUGAAAGCAUCUAAGCGGGAAACUUGCCUCAAGAUGAGAUCUCACUGGGAACUUGAUUCCCCUGAAGGGCCGUCGAAGACUACGACGUUGAUAGGCUGGGUGUGUAAGCGUUGUGAGGCGUUGAGCUAACCAGUACUAAUUGCCCGUGAGGCUUGACCAU
rnacentral:rRNA from 1 species